GACAGAGUAAAUGAUUUGCGUCAAGUGUAUGUGAAUGGGAUGUUGUCACAUAACGAAACGAAGCGUGCGAUAAAUCAUUGCAUCCGCUGUU
rnacentral:ncRNA from 2 species